UACAGAGGUGCCAAGCGUUGUUCGGAUUUAUUGGGCGUAAAGGGUGCGUAGGCGGUCGCGCAAGUCGGGUGUGAAAUCCCGGAGCCUAACUCCGGAAUGGCAUUCGAAACUGCGCGGCUCGAGGUCUGGAGAGGUGACUGGAAUUCUCGGUGUAGCAGUGAAAUGCGUAGAUAUCGAGAGGAACACCAGAGGCGAAGGCGAGUCACUGGACAGAACCUGACGCUGAGGCACGAAAGCCAGGGGAGCAAACGGG
rnacentral:rRNA from 1 species